UUCCCUCUUCACCACGACACCGUGCUCUCCAUGCACGUGCUCUCCCACUAAACUCAGUGGAAACCAUGUCUGUCUGGGCUGCAGAUGGAGGAGGAUGUGCUGAAGGGCCGUUCAGUAGGAACCAACAUGCACUUGCAGAUGGAGAAGUGUCCACAAGAGGAAGAAUGACAGUGUGCACAUUAACCUGAGGACGACCUGGUGGCCGCCAGAGCCAUAUUUGCAAGCGAGAAUCCCGGUAUCUCAUCCAGGAAUACAGCUCUCCCACUAAACUCAGUGGAAACCAUGUCUGUCUGGGCUGCAGAUGGAGGAGGAGGAUGUGCUGAAGGUCCGUUCAGUAGGAACCAACAUGCACUUGCAGAUGGAGAAGUGUCCACAAGAGGAAGAAUGACACUCUCCCACUAAACUCAGUGGAAACCAUGUCUGUCUGGGCUGCAGAUGAAGGAAGAGGAUGUGCUGAAGGUCCGUUCAGUUGGAACCAACAUGCACUUGCAGAUGGAGAAGUGUCCACAAGAGGAAGAAUGACAUGGACUGGAGUGGCAAAAAUGAAGGCUGGUCUCCGGCUGCCUCUGCACAGAGCUCAGACUGUCCUAUCAGAACACAUGAGAAAUGCAGAGCACUAUGAGCAGAGAAAUCAAUAAAGU